GGACGGUUUGAUUCUAAAGGCGACAGAUCCGAUGGGCUCCCGAGGGGACCGUUCACCUCUGCAGGGUCCGACCUGAAAGACCUGAGGGGUUAAUGAUGUUCGGGGAUGUGGUCAUAGGCCUCUUUCUGGAGGAAUGGGAACGCCUGGACUCUGGUCAGAUGGAUUUGCACAGAGAAGCAAUGUAGGAGAAUGACAGCAAUCUGAUUUCAGCAGAACAAGGUUGACAGAAUCGAUGAGAGGCUUGUUGUGUUCAGGUAAGUGAGGGAUGGUGUGGCGGGAAGCAGGAUGCUUAGGAAGUACCACCUCUGAGAUAUUAUCCAGAAGCUACCCUUAAGGGUCCAAGACUUCUUCCAUAUGAGCUUUCUUGCUUUUUGCCCCCACUUACAGUUCAGCAUAGCAAGUGCCUUUUUUCUUCAUAUCGAAGGCAAUUAUUCUAUUCACAUAUUUUAUUUUAGAAGCCCACCAUUACCAAAUCCAACUUUUACACAUCAGUUGUUUUCAUUUUAAGUAGUCCAAAUACGCUUUUUUUUGGUUGUUGCCAUUUACAGCUUUCCCAUUUUGCCUGCAAAAUGUGCCCAAUAUCUACUAGCCACAGCUAAGAUAAACUGUAGUUGUGAAGACCCCAGGCCACUGCCGCCCUUCAGCACGCUCUGAGACACCCAGUUUGCUGCUGGGAGAUGUUGCCUCUAAACAUAAAGCCUCCCGCCCCUCACUCCUGAGUCCUCUUGUCCUCUUCCCCUGCCAGUGGCUCCUCUAUGCUGCUUGCUGGUGGAUGCUCUCUUGCUGCAUUGUCCCCAUAUUCCAUGCCUGGUAAUACACCUGAAGUAACAUCUUCGUCUUUAGCAGACCUAAAAUGCCUGAGGUACUUCUGACAGUUAACGCACUGCCUACUAUCCAACACCAAACUUUUGCCAUUGAGUCAGUGUGGACGCACAGUGACCCCUUUUGGACUUCUGAGACUGACUGUUUACAGGAGGAGAAAGAAAGCCAGGCUUUCUCCCAUGUUGCUGCUGAUGGUUUCAACCGCUCACCAUUUAGGUCACAGACCAAUGUGUAAACCCUACCCCACCAGGGCUCCCUGCGAGCUACUAUAGCAUAUAAUUAGACUGGAUAUAUGGUAGAGUAAAUUUUGUUCCAUUGAAAAUUUGUGUUUGCAUUUUUAUUCCCCACCCCCAAAUUACUGUUAUGAUUUAGAUUGAGGUUGAAAUGAAUCUGUAGAUCAGUUUGGGGAGAAUUAACAUUAUGAAAUAUUAAAUCAAAAACAUUUGACCUUAAAUUUAUGCAGAUAGUCUGCUAGGUGCUGCAUAGUUUAUAUAAGAUGUAGGCUUUUAAGCAAGUUAAUUGUCUUAAUGUAUGAUCUAAGACAUUUCUUUAAAAUCCACAAAGUAAAAUCUUCAAAAUAAAAUCUUGAGUCAAAAAUCAGAGGAAAAUUAUAAGAUGGUUAAAAACAUUCAAGUAGAAUUUGUUCAAGUAGAAGAAAUAGUUGGAGUGUUGAAAGUGGAUUUCAUUACCUAUAGAGAUCAUUUUGGAGACAGAAUAGCCAUUCCUUUAUUGGAUUUGAGAAGCAAUUUUGGAUUUGACAAAACUGCAUGAACCUAGGCAGGAGUUGGUGAAUUUUAUUAUUUCUUUCUCAUCAAUAGGUCUUAACUACCCUGAAAUCUAUAUUUUAUUGCUCUUUUGCUACUUUUCCUCCCUACCAUUUAGCUAAUUAACGUCCUGUUCGGUCUUCAUUUAACUUAAUACUUAGUUGUGCUCUGCUUACUAUACUAUUUUGAUUUUAAAAUUAUUUUUCUUUUAAUCAAGUUAGAAUUUGCCUAAGAAUAACAUCAUU